UACGUAGGGUGCGAGCGUUGUCCGGAAUUAUUAGGCGUAAAGGGCUCGUAGGCGGUUUGUCGCGUCGGGAGUGAAAAUCCAGGGCUUAACUCUGGACUGGCUUCCGAUACGGGCAGACUAGAGGUAUGCAGGGGAGAACGGAAUUCCUGGUGUAGCGGUGAAAUGCGCAGAUAUCAGGAGGAACACCGGUGGCGAAGGCGGUUCUCUGGGCAUUACCUGACGCUGAGGAGCGAAAGUGUGGGGAGCGAACAGG
rnacentral:rRNA from 1 species